rnacentral:rRNA from 1 species
GACGAGGGGUCCUAGCGUUGUUCGGAAUCACUGGGCGUAAAGGGUUCGUAGGCGGUGUGGCAAGUCGGGAGUGAAAUUUCUGGGCUCAACUCAGAGACUGCUUCCGAAACUGCUGUGCUGGAGUGUGGGAGAGGCGCGUGGAAUUGCAGGUGUAGCGGUGAAAUGCGUAGAUAUCUGCAGGAACACCCGUGGCGAAAGCGGCGCGCUGGACCACUACUGACGCUGAGGAACGAAAGCUAGGGGAGCAAACAGG